rnacentral:rRNA from 1 species
UACAGAGGUCUCAAGCGUUGUUCGGAUUCAUUGGGCGUAAAGGGUGCGUAGGUGGCGGGGUAAGUCUGGUGUGAAAUCUCGGGGCUCAACCCCGAAACUGCACUGGAUACUGCCUUGCUCGAGUACUGGAGAGGAGAUUGGAAUUUACGGUGUAGCAGUGAAAUGCGUAGAUAUCGUAAGGAAGACCAGUGGCGAAGGCGAAUCUCUGGACAGUUACUGACGCUGAGGCACGAAGGUCAGGGGAGCAAACGGG